rnacentral:rRNA from 1 species
UACGAAGGGUGCAAACGUUGCUCGGAAUUAUUGGGCGUAAAGCGCACGUAGGCGGCUUUGCAAGUCCGAUGUGAAAUCCCUCGGCUUAACCAAGGAAGUGCAUCGGAAACUGCAGAGCUUGAGUACUUAAGAGGAUCGCGGAAUUCCCGGUGUAGAGGUGAAAUUCGUAGAUAUCGGGAGGAACACCAGUGGCGAAGGCGGCGAUCUGGGAAGAUACUGACGCUGAGGUGCGAAAGCGUGGGUAGCAAACAGG